GUGGCCUGGGGAGCUUUUCAUUCCUGUGAUCUUGUAGAAGUCUCCUGAUGGUUCCCCAGAGUGUGUCUGGAUCCCAGUCACAGCAUGGACUGUAGCCAGACCACCUGCAGAAUCCCGCUUUGGACAUCAAUGAGCAGAGCAGCGCUGGGGCAUAUGAGAAGCAUGCUCAGGAUCGGGAAGGAACCAGCCAUGUCCGGCCCUGACCUACGGAGAGAGGAGGACCUGGAGGCCUAGGGGAUAAUGGGGAGAUAUUUUGCAGAAAAGGAGAAAGUCUUCCCUGGGAUGGAUUCCAUACUUAGGAAAUCUGUGAGAGGCCGGGCGGAGGCUUUCCUCCCAGGACAGAACAACAGGCUCUCAGAAUCCUACAACACAACAGAGGAGCAUUUCAGAGACCACCGAAGGCUGGCGAGUUCCCCGAGGCUAGUGGGUCCCCAAACAGGAGCAGGAGCCCAGCUGGGGGCUGGCAGGGGCUUGGCGUGCCCACCAGGACUUCCACAUGUAGCACCUGGUUUCUUGGCUUGGUUGAUGGCUUUGAACUGUGCCCGGAGCAUGGUGAAUGCUUUGUCAAUGUUUCUGGAGAGGAUGGAUGGUGGGUUCCCCGUGGUGAGCACGCUGCCUGCCCCUCAGCCACUCCAGCCCCAUGUCCAGUGGUACUAGCAGGUGGGCUGGCCAUAGAGCAGGAGUUCCUAGCAGGCCCUGCCUGAGUUUAUCCAGGACCCAGGCUCCCCGAGUUUCCUCUGGGGUCGCCUGUCUUGCUCCUUUUUGUGCAUACACUAUACCCCUAUGCCAGGGUUCUUCCCCCUGGAAGAACCUUAGACCAGCCCUGCUGCCCCCCAACUGCUGUUGCCCCAGCAAGGACUGGAUUCUGGUAUGUGGCUUUGGGUCUGGGUGGGGGCAUGCACAGGAAGCCCAUCCAAAGCCUCUGUUCCCUGUCACACCCAAGAUCUGACUAAGACCCCUUCCAUCCCUAGGAAAAGCCCUGGGUUUGGGGAUCACAGAGAACAAUGCCAGACCAGGGGCAAUGCUUGACCUCAGGGCUGGACAGGUGGACGGUGCCUCUGUGAUCAGCAGAGGUGGUGAGAAUGGAAAGGCAGUGGCCAGGGGACAGCAGGCUUUUUAGAUCACCCUCGUGCCCUCCCCACUGGGUGGUCAGGAUGGCGGCUAAGCCUGCCUUCUGGUGGUGGCCCCUCCACCCCGGGGUGGAUCACUGCACUCAGAGGAAGACAGAGAGGCUGUGUGACCUGGAGCAAGUUGCUUCACACUCUGUGCUGACUCACUUUCCUCUCUUUUUAAGAAGGAGUGUGGUGAUGGCUGCCUGGCAGGAUCUUCUGUUUGAGAUAAUGUGGCUCCUGGCACAUAGCAGGUGCUCAGUAGGAAAAUGCCUUGUGCCCGCACCCCUCCCAGGUGCAGCCUUCCCUACAGAGCAAGCUGGCAGCCUCCAACUGAGCCUGUCCUUGGGACUGUGUUCCUCCUGCCUCCAGGACCCCAGGGCCCCGGGAGGGCACUGGCGCCCUGGCCUGUUUCUGCUCUGAAUGAAGUGGCAUCAUUGCUUGCUAGCAUUUGUGAGGGUUAUUGUCUGAAAGCUACCUUUGCCCUUUGCCCCUCCUGUGAGGGCGCCAUGACCCUUCUACAGAUGGCUCCUGCCCUGCGAUGAGGUGACUCACCCAGCGUCACCCAGCUGGCCACUCACCUGGACCCUCUCUGGUCACUGCACAUGGUAACACCGGUUCAUGCACCCGUGCCUCCUCAGGUGACACAGAACUGUGUGCUCUUCCUUCUGAGGAGGGACGCUUCCAGAGGCACUUCAAGGCAGCCAGGAGGGGUGUCCCAAGGGCCCAAGGCAACAUGUGGCACCUUCUAACUCCAAGAGGCCUGCCCAGGGUCACAGUGGGCAAAUGGCAACAGAAUGCCCCACGUGAACCUCCUAGUCCACUCCUGUCUGCUCUGGAAGCUGUCCCUGUCCCCUGGGCUGUCCCUUCACAGGGUCACUGUUCCUCUGGCAGCUGACCAAGGGCUUAUCAUACGCAUAAAUAAAGUGACAGUUACUUCAGUUACUUUCUUCCUUACUACAAAAGUAUUGUAGAGUCACUAGAGAAAAUUUAAGUAAAUAAAAAUAACCAAAUUAAUCUCCAAUAAAAUAGAACCAACUUGCAUUUUAACAUAUAAUUUCCUAGUACAUUUUCUGUGUGUGUGUGUGUACAUAUAUAUGGAGAUUUUAUUUUAGAGGCUAUUUCCCAACUUGCUCUUUUAGUUAAAACUGUUCCAUGAGCAUAUUUUUUUAAAUUUAAUAUUCUUUGACAAUAAACUUUG